ACAUAGAUACACCUUCUUUUUCCCAUGUCCUCUUCCAUCGUGUUCUGUCACCAGUAAGUGGCUGUAAUUCCCUGGGCGAUACAGCAGGACCUCAUUGCUCAUCCAUCUCAGUGCAACAGGUUGCGGGUAUGAGCCCCAAACUCUGCGUCCAUCCCGCUCCCUCCCCCUCCCCCUGGGCAACCGCAAGUGUGCCCCCCAUGUCUGUGAGCCUGUGUCUGUUCUGUACGUAGGUUCCUCUGGGCCACAUUUUAGAUUCCGCCUCUGAGUGAUAGCGUGUGCUCUUUGUCUUGAGAUUAAACGUGAGGAGACUUUGAGUAAAAGCAGAUCAGCCUCUGUGAUGUGGGUGGGCCUCAGCCAGUCAGGUGAAGGCGGACAGAGAAGAAAGGCUGAGGUCACCUGAGGAGGGGGGCCCUCUGCUCCCGACCGGGGGACACAGUGGCAACUCCCCCCGGGCCUCCAGCCAGCCCUGCGGGUCUCAGACGUGCCCGCUCCCACAGCCAAUACGCCCAUCUCUUCAAGGAAAUCUCUUUCCUCCCUGUCUUGGGCAGUGUGUGCACACACGCACACACACACACACACAACUUUGGUUCCCUUUUUCUGGAGAACCUCUAGUAACACGUGGCGUUGGGGACAGAUUCCUCCCUGCCUCUUGCCGGCAGCCGCCCAGGUGUCCCCAGUGGCUUCCUCAGCCUGAGCCGGACCUGAAGGGCGACGUGUCCCAGCUUCUCCCAGAGCAGAGGCCACGGCGGGGGGUGGGUGGUCCUGGAAAGAGCACCCAGGCCUGGGAAUGACCCCAAAUGGGCCUGAGGUCCUUGGGAAGGGCUCUGCCACUGCCGAGUGGACAUUCUUCUUCUGAAGGUGGCUGGUGAGGCAGACACCAGGCCUGGUGCAAAGGGCUGCAGGAAGCUGGGCGAAGGGCAGGCUGCCCCAGAGCGUCCCUGCUGGAUCCCCCGGCUCUCAAACUCUGCUUCCAGGCAGAGAGACCCUGGUACCGAGAUCAGCUUCUCGGACCUUCCCUCAGCGUGACAGUGGCACUCUGCUUGCUGCCAUCUUUACUUUGGUCUCCUCGGCCACUGGGCGCUGCCACCCUGGUGCUUGCGGGGGUGGCCAGGGGGCAGUGGGCUGUGCCAUCUGUCUCCGCUGUCUGUAGACCCUGGAGGGGGAAGGGAAGGUCUUAGCCUGUGGUCAAGGUAAACUCGAGCAAAGCUAGUGUCCCUGGCGCCAGGGGUGGCUGGCCCGCCGCAGUGUCCCCGCCCGCGUGGACUCUCUCCCGCUGCCAGCCCUGCCCGUUCCCCAGAGACCUUUGGGCCCCACGGGACCUCACCUCCCCAACUUGGGCCUUGCUUCCAAGUCUGUCCUGGCCUCUGCUCCUCUCACACCAGGCCGGCCCCCUGAACCCCUACAGCACGUUCUUCGCUAUGGCGAACCCAUGCCAGGAGGACAAGGAGAUCCCUGGGCGACAUUUCCCGUCCCUCAUGUUUAAAGAAAUGUUAUUUAAAUGGCAGCGCAUAACUGGCUGUUACUCGGCCUGCUCUGGGCUGGGAGCUUCUGACCCCAAGGUUGUGGCCAGUCCAUGCCUUUGACACCGUUUCCCUGAGAAGCCUUAAAAAGAAGGGCAUAGGGAGUUCCCGUCGUGGCAGUGGUUAACAAAUCCGACUAGGAACCAUGAGGUUGUGGGUUCAAUCCCUGGCCCCGCUCAGUAGGUUGAGGAUCUGGCGUUGCCGUGAGGUGGGGUGCAGGUUACAGAUGCAGCUUGGAUCCCACGUUGCUUUGGCUCUGGUGUAGGCCGGCAGCUACAGCUCCGAUUAGACCCCUAGCCUGGGAAGCUCCAUAUGCUGUGGGAAGUGGCCCUAAAAAGGCAAAAAGACAAAAAAAGUGAUGAAACCUUUUCUGAAGCAGUAAUGGCUUGAAGGUACAGCAAGAGGGACAGGAGUUAGACAUGAGAAAGAACUUCCUGAGUAGGGCUAGCCCCUCCUGGUGGUCUUUAAGCCUAAUGUUGAUUUAUGCACAUCCUUACAGCCAACUGGGUUGGAUGUUGGGUCAGUGGUGAGAAAAUAGUGCCACUAUGUCAGAGGAAGUUUCCUGUUUCCAGAAAGGAUCCAGGCAACACAGGCCUCACACACUGGGGCAGGAAUGACAGGAACGUGGCACUCAUGUUAACUUAAACCAUCCCUGGGAUUCAUCACAUACCCAGCACAUGGUUGUUCGUAUUUCCAGAAACAAAAACAAAACCAUAAAAUAAGGGAAGUGAGGAGGAAGAGGAGGGCCAUGGACCCAUGACACAUCUGUGUCUCAGGUUUUAAGGUUAAUACACAGGACACAGAAUAUUAUGGUAACUGGUAAUUUCAUGAUAGGGCUAGUGAAUGUGGAAAAUUACACCCCUUCUAGGAAGAGGUUUGGCUCGAAGUUAAAUAAAACAAGCAAACAUGCUUUUGAGGGUAAGGACGAGGGCGACAAGGAGUUCCCACUGUGGUGCAGCAGAUUAAGACUCCAACUGCAGCGGCUUGGGUCGCUGCAGAGGCACAGGUUCAAUCUCCAGCCUCCCACAGUGAGUUAAAGGAUCCAGGGCUGCUGCAGCUGUGGCUCCGAUUCAGUCCCUGUCCCAGGAACUUUCAUAGGCCAUGUGGCCAUUAAGAAAGAAAAAAGAACACGAGUGACAUGAUUUUGGUCAGGUUCUAGACCUGUGCUGUCCACUAAAGUAGUCAGGAGCCAAAAUGGCUACUGAGCCGAGAUGAGUCACAUGGGAUGUACAUGCACUGCUGCCCUUCCCCUGACAGGGGAUGUGGGUUGAGCAGUAAAGUCUGAGAAACACAUGCACUGCUGUCACAGCUUCCUCAGGUGAAGGGGCAAGUGGUUUCAGUUAAAUCUGGGGUAGAUGUGCAAGCAGUCACAGCCUCCUCAGGUAAGGAAACUUGUGGUGAUCAGGUCUGAGGUAUACAUGUCAUGCUGUCAACAGCCUCCUCAGGUGAAGGGGCAUAUGAUAUGGGUCACUUCUGAGGUACACGUGCACUGCUAACACAGCCUCCUCAACUGAGGAGACACAUACUGACUGUUACACCUGAGGGACAAGUACACUGUUAUCACAUUCUCCUCAAGGAGUGAGGAGAUGGGUGGGGACUGAUCACCUGUGAAGAACACUUGCAGUUCUGAAAUAGCCUCCCCAGGUGAGGAGAUCUGUGGUAUCUGUCUGAGGCAAACGUGCAUGUUGUCACAGAUGUCUCAGGUGAGGAGACAAGAGGUGAUUGGUCAGUCUGAGGUAAAUGCACAUGCUGUACAGGCGCCUUAAGUGAGGAGACAUGUGGUGAAUGAUCACCUGUGAAACACACGUGCAAUGCUGUAACAGCCUCCUCAGGUGAGGAGACGUGUGGUGACUGGUCAAGCCAAAGAAUUAUGUGCAGUCCUCCCACAACCUCCUCAAGUGUAGAAGCAUUAGAAUUGAUCACGUCUGAGAUAAAUGUGCAUGUGGUAAUAGCUUUUCACGUGAGGAGACGUGAUUGGUCAGGUAUGAGAUAAAUGUGCCUGCUGUCUCAGCCUCCUUAAGAGAGGAGACACGUGGUAACUAGUCCUGUGUGAGCUACAUGUGUGUGCGGUACUGUCCCAGGCUCCUCAGGUGAGGAGACGUAGGGUGAUUAGUCAGGUCUGAGGUAAAUGUCCAUGCUCUCUCAGCCUCCUCCAUGGAGGAGAUGCCUGCUGACGUGUGAGGAACAUGUGCAUUGCUUUAAUAGCCUCCUCAGGUGAAGAAGCUUUUUUUUUGUCUUUUGAGGGCCGCUCCCAUGGCAUAUGGAUAUGGAAGUUACCAGGCUAGGGGGUUAAUCAGAGCUGUACCCACCACCCUACACCACAGCCACAGCAGUAUGAGAUCCAAGCCGCUUCUUUGAACUACACCACAGCUCAUGACAAUGCCGGAUCCUUAACCUGCUGAUCGAAGCCAGGGAUUGAACCUGCGUCCUCCUGGACGCUAGUCAGUCUCAGUUAACCACUGAGCCACGACGGGAAACUCUGAAAAGCCUUUUUUGGUUUUUUUUUUUUGGGGGGGGGGUUGGUCCUUUUUUCUUUCCAGGGCCACACCCGCGGCAUAUGGCGGUUCCCAGGCUAGGGGUCCAUCAGAGCUGCAGCCACCGGCCUGCGCCACAGCCACAGCAACACCAGAUUCGAGCCGCGUCUACCACAGCUCACGGCAGCGCCGGGUCCCCCACCCGCUGGGCAAGGCCAGGGAUGGAAGCCUCAUCCUCAUAGAUGCUAGUCACCGCGGGAACUCCCUGAAGAAGCUUCUCAUCAGUCAUGUCGGAGGCCAGUGUGCAUCUGUCACAGCCUCCUUGUGUAAGGAGACACGUGUGGACGCGUCACGUGUGAGCUACACGUGCAGCGCCUUCGCAGCCUUCGAAUGGAAGAGCCGGAUGGUGAUUGGUCAGGUCUGAGAGCCCCAGUCGGCUGGUGAUUGGUCAGGUCUGAGAGCGUGAGGAGGCGUGCGUGAUUGGUCAGGUCUGAGCCUCACGUGACAGGCUCUCAGGCCGCCUCAGGGGAAGAAACUGCUGAGGCUGUUCCCUGCUGCCGCAGCCCGCUCGCUUGAGGAGACACGAGGUGACUGGUCACAUUUGAGGGAUGUGUGCCCUGUGUUCCCACAGCCUCCUCUGGUGAGUGACUUGCUGUACCUCGUUCGGGUCUGAGGGAAACGCGCACGCUGGCAGCAGCUCUUUAAGUGGGGAGGCACACGGUGACGCCUCCGUGUGAGGCGCACGGGCAGUGCGGUGGUAACCUUCGCAGGUGAGGAGCGUGUGGUGCCUGGUCAGGCCUACGGCAAAGAGCCCCGCUGUCGCGGUGUCCUCGGGUGCGGAAGCUUCUCGCACUGGUGGGGACUGGGGCAAACGCGCCUGCCGCCGCAGCCUCUGCACACGAGGAGACACGUGGUGCCAGGUCCGCCUGCGCUGCACCCGACGUUCCGCCACAGCCUCCUCAGCUGAGGGCACCUGUGAUGGGGUCCUUCGGAGGUGAAGGUGCCUGCUUCCUCGGCCUGCUAAGUGAGGAGGCAUCUGGAGGCUGGGCAGGUUGGAGGAGCACAGGCGGUGCUGUCACAGCCCCGGGGGAGAAGACCUGUGGUGAGGAGUUCUGUUGGCGCAGCAGAAGCGAAGCCGACCAGGAACCAUGAGGUGGCGGGUUUGAUCCCUGGCCUGGCUCAGGGGGUUAAGGAUCCCGCGUUGCUCGGGCUGUGGUGCAGGCCGGCGGCUACAGCUCCAGUUAGACCCCUAGCCUGGGAACCUCCAUAUGCCUCGGGUGCAGCCCCCAAAAGACCAACGACAAAAGGAAAGACCACCUGUGUGGCGGGUGGUCCUGUCUGCGGAUCCUGCGCCAGGCCCUCACGGCCUCCUCAGGUGAAGCUGCUUUGUGUGGGUCCAUCUGAGGUAAAUGUACGUGCGCGCACAGCCUCCUCAGGUGAGGAAGCUGUUGAUGUCAGAUGUGUCUGAGGUACGCGUGCAGCGCUGCCAGGGGCUUCCCAAGUGAGGAGCCACGUGGUGACUUGUCUGGGGUGAGGAACAUGUGUGAUGCGGUGACAUCCCCGUCAGGUGAAGGGACCUGUGCUGACGGGUCACGUCUGCAAACCACGUGCGGCGCUCUCCCAGCACCCUCGUGUGAAGAAGCUUCUGAUAUGCUUCGUGUCUGAGGCAAACGUGCCCUGCUCUCACCUCCUCCUCGGGUGUGGAAGCUCUUGAUUUCAGUCGUGUCUGGAGUCGAAGUGCUUUUGCUCUCCCUGCCCCCUCAGUGAGGAGACUCGGGAUAACCGGUCCCUGUGAGGUACAGCGCACUCUUUGCUCGGCCUCCUUAGAGGGGGCGUGAGGUGGGCGCGGCCAUGUGUGAGGGCACGUGCUUGCUGUCACAGCUUCAGGUGCGUGGACGUGUCGAGAGCAGUCGUGUCUGAGGGACAGGCGAUGCAGUCACCCCUUCUCAGGGAGGGGCGAGUGCGGGGUGGCGUCUGAGGUAAACGUGUCUUGGUGUCCAGCCCUCACAGCUGGUGCUGGGCACCCGACAGUCAGUCAGGUCUGAAGGGCACGGGCAGUGGUGUCACAGUUCCCCCAGUGACAGCGUGUGUGCUCAGCUCUGAGGGCCUCGCGCUUUGCCUUCACUGCCCUGACAGAUGCAGGGCUGCGUGUCUGGGGGCGGCAGGCACUGACCUCGGAUGUCCCGGGGCCGGAGGGGCGCCCUGCUGGGGCCUGUGCUGCUCUGCCAGGUGGCGCUGGGGAAGGUGAAGCUGACCUCCGGCGCGUGGUGCGUGGUCUCAUCUGGACGGGGAACGCAGAGGAGAGGAGAGGACGGUAUUAUUUCGAGGCACCCCCAGCGAAUCCUGGGAACAAACUAGAUGGUGCGUGUUUGCUGCACCACAUUCAGACCUACUACAUGUCAGCUCUUUACCGAGCUUGCCUCAUUUGUUCUCCCACAGCCCCAGGAGGCAUGGUGCUUUCCACCAACUCUGAGCUCUGGCCUUUCUGGAACUUUCCACCCUCUGGCUUCUGGCUCCACUCCCUUCUCCUCAGCCCUGCCCUCCCCUCUUCCUUCCACUCCCUGCUUGCUCUCAGCUGGACACAGCAGGGCGGUGAAGGAUUUUCUGGGUUUGCUGAAGCCCCGGGGCUCAGCCCGGGCCAGAUCAAGACGUGUACCCUUUCUUGCCAAGUGAGGGGGCCAGUCUGUGACCGCACUCGCUCUCACUGACAAAGGCUGACUUCCUCUGUAUGGGGACUGGGCCGCAGAUGCUCCAGGGAAUGGUUCUUUUUGUAGCAGAGACAUGUGAUGAAUACUCUGUUAUCCAUUAGAGAGAGCUCUUGAAAUAUUUAUGGGUGCGAUGACCUGGGAUUUUCUUGAAACAUCUCCAGGAGAACAAACAACAAACGAGAAUGUAUAGAGACCACAAAACAAAACUGCCAAAGUAUUGCAGGUGAUGGGGCUGCCUUGGCAGCUGUGGUGCCAUCUCGGCUUCUGUAUGUCAGGAACUUUGUAACAAAGAAAGCAAACCUCUCUUUAAAGCAUCCACACAGACACCUGCCAGGGGGCUUUUCUCCAGAGGCAGGCGAACCUCAACUCCAGGGAUGGGAGUGGGGGGUGAUGCUGGGACCUAAGCGGCGGUAACAAGCCCCCUCUCAGCACCUGUUAGGUCACACGCUCCCCUGCCCCACAGGUGCUGUCCCGCCGCUGGGAGGACGGGGUGCAGCGCCAGCCCAGCCCCCAGCCUUGGGACUGUUUGUUGUUCUGUAACCACGUAAGCAGAAAAAAGGAAUCAAAAACUUUUGAAAGCAGAAAGUCUUGCAAGGAUAAAGAAUACGUCUGGUGUUUCUGAAAGUGUUUUCAGUUUCUUAAGCGUUGUUGCCGGCCGCCGUUGUUCCUGGCAAUUUCAGUAGCCAAGUUGAGAAAUCCACAGAUAAAUCUGAAUUUUGUCAAGGUCAGAUUGCAAAAGGCCUUUGAAAACGUGUGUAUGGGGAGUUCCCGCUGUGGCUCAGCAGUAACAAACGCAACUAGUAUCCAUGAGGAUGUGGGUUCGACCCCCGGCCUCGCUCAGCAGGUUAAGGAUCCUGCAUUGCUGUGGGCUGUGGUGUAGACCGGCAGCUCCGAUUAGACCCCCAGCCUGGGAACUUCCAUAUGCCGCGGGUGUGGCCCUAAAAGAAAAAAAAAA
ensembl:lncRNA